rnacentral:RNase_MRP_RNA from 1 species
GCGUCACAGGAUGAAGUGAGCGGGCUUUCAAAGCCCUGGAAAGUCCCCGGGCCUUAAUGCGCAGCGAUGCGCCCACGGACACGUGUACGGCCCACGAGCUGGCUCUCCCUGCUUCGGUGGGGGGCUGAGACACGUGUGGAGCCCAAUUAAAAGGGAGCCGGCUCUGGGUUAAAUGGCCAACUUUGUCUCACAGUUAUUCACUUGGUCCACUAUUGGACUAACAGAACGGGGCUUACACUCCUGUGACG